AGAGUUUGAUCCUGGCUCAGAUUGAACGCUGGCGGAACGCUUUACACAUGCAAGUCGAACGGUAACGCGGAGAGAAGCUUGCUUCUCUCCGGCGACGAGUGGCGAACGGGUGAGUAAUACAUCGGAACGUGUCCGCUCGUGGGGGACAACCAGCCGAAAGGUUGGCUAAUACCGCAUGAGUUCUACGGAAGAAAGAGGGGGACCCGCAAGGGCCUCUCGCGAGCGGAGCGGCCGAUGACUGAUUAGCCGGUUGGUGAGGUAACGGCUCACCAAAGCAACGAUCAGUAGCUGGUCUGAGAGGACGACCAGCCACACUGGGACUGAGACACGGCCCAGACUCCUACGGGAGGCAGCAGUGGGGAAUUUUGGACAAUGGGCGCAAGCCUGAUCCAGCUAUUCCGCGUGUGGGAUGAAGGCCCUCGGGUUGUAAACCACUUUUGUAGAGAACGAAAAGACACCUUCGAAUAAAGGGUGUUGCUGACGGUACUCUAAGAAUAAGCACCGGCUAACUACGUGCCAGCAGCCGCGGUAAUACGUAGGGUGCGAGCGUUAAUCGGAAUUACUGGGCGUAAAGGGUGCGCAGGCGGUUGAGUAAGACAGAUGUGAAAUCCCCGAGCUUAACUCGGGAAUGGCAUAUGUGACUGCUCGACUAGAGUGUGUCAGAGGGAGGUGGAAUUCCACGUGUAGCAGUGAAAUGCGUAGAUAUGUGGAAGAACACCGAUGGCGAAGGCAGCCUCCUGGGACAUAACUGACGCUCAGGCACGAAAGCGUGGGGAGCAAACAGGAUUAGAUACCCUGGUAGUCCACGCCCUAAACGAUGUUAACUAGUUGUUGGGAAGUAAAAUUCUCAGUAACGCAGCCAACGCGAGAAGUUAACCGCCUGGGAAGUACGGUCGCAAGACUAAAACUCAAAGGAAUUGACGGGGACCCGCACAA
rnacentral:rRNA from 1 species